UACGGGGGAAGCAAGCGUUGUUCGGAUUUACUGGGCGUAAAGGGCGCGUAGGCGGCCACCGCAAGUCGAUUGUGAAAUCUCCGGGCUUAACCCGGAAAGGUCAACCGAUACUGCGGGGCUAGAGUGCAGAAGGGGCAACUGGAAUUCUCGGUGUAGCGGUGAAAUGCGUAGAUAUCGAGAGGAACACCUGCGGCGAAGGCGGGUUGCUGGGCUGACACUGACGCUGAAGUGCGAAAGCUAGGGGAGCGAACGGG
rnacentral:rRNA from 1 species